rnacentral:rRNA from 1 species
CCUACGGGUGGCUGCAGUGGGGAAUAUUGGACAAUGGGGGCAACCCUGAUCCAGCCAUGCCGCGUGUGUGAAGAAGGCCCUCGGGUUGUAAAGCACUUUCAGUGAGGAAGAACGCCUGGUGGUUAAUACCCAUCAGGAAAGACAUCACUCACAGAAGAAGCACCGGCUAACUCCGUGCCAGCAGCCGCGGUAAUACGGAGGAUGCGAGCGUUAAUCGGAAUUACUGGGCGUAAAGCGCGCGUAGGUGGCUUGAUAAGCCGGUUGUGAAAGCCCCGGGCUCAACCUGGGAACGGCAUCCGGAACUGUCAAGCUAGAGUGCAGGAGAGGAAGGUAGAAUUCCCGGUGUAGCGGUGAAAUGCGUAGAGAUCGGGAGGAAUACCAGUGGCGAAGGCGGCCUUCUGGACUGACACUGACACUGAGGUGCGAAAGCGUGGGUAGCAAACAGGAUUAGAUACCCUUGUAGUC